GGCAAACUCUGAAUUCUGUGCUCCCUGUCUCAUAAUGCAAGAACAAAGGGACAUUCAAUCAAAUUAGAAGGUGACAAAUUCAAAACUGAUCCAAGAAAUGCUUUUUCACACAUCAUGUAAUUAUAAUGUGAAACUCAUUGCCACUGGAUGUUGCUGAGACCAAGCACUUAGCAAAUCUCAAAAGUGAUCGGAUAUUUAUAUGAAUGGCAGGAAUAUGCAGAGUGAUAUUAAACCUCAUGGUUCAUUGCUUCAGCCAGUCACUAACUGUUAGAGAGCAGGAUGAGAAUGUGGGAGGCAGAUUAUCUUACACCUUCCUCUGAAGCAUCUGGCACUGUCCACCUUUGGAGACAGAAUACUGAUCAGAUGGACUCAAGUCCGAGCCAGUCCGGCAUUUCCUGUGUUCCAAACGCCAACUCCAAAAGAUUAAAGAUGGAACCAGCCUUUAAUUAUGGAAAUAGCUAAGAUUGAAGUUGAAUUUCACUUUAAAGCCUCAUUUUGCCACUCUUCCUACACACCACAAAAAGGGAAAAUAUUGGCCUUAAAACUGACACAUGAGGUCUGAGGCUGUGGUGAUUUUCUCUGCCAGAACUGACGUUAGAUAGGAGCUGUUCGUUACUCAUGGUAGCCUGAAAGUGUAAGCAGUCGUUAGAAUUGCAAAAACCUUCUAAUGAUUUUAUUUUUGAAAAAAUGCCUCUAACUAGGAAAUUUUAAAAAACGGCGAGACAUAAAAUGUAGCAUCCUGGACUUCUCUAGCUGAUAUCUAGGGUCAAAUUCUCUGUUGCAGCCAGUAUCUGCUGUGGGCAGCAUUCUUCACUCCUCAGAUUUCCUGCAUUGAUCCUAGGGCUUAGGACGGUGAAUGGCCCUGUGUCACUCUGUACCCCACACCCAUUGUUCUCACCCAGACCCACCUUCCUGUGGCUGUCAAGAAGCCCACAGGACGGGUCUUCAGAAUGUUUGUGGGCGAGUGGGGAGAGAGUUUACAGCCUGGGGGCAGCACAGCCUGGGGGCAUCCCUCCCUCUGCACCCACUGGAGUCUGCAGGAGGGGAUCUUCCCCACACCUGUGAGUGUUAGGAAGAUCCUUGUUCAACACAUCGCAACACUGAGCCCUCUGAUUCCAUGUGCCAGGUGGUUAUCGAAAUGUUGUUACACAAAGAGCCUGUGUGCCCCCAGUACAAACUUCCUGGGCCCAGAUCCUGCAGUCCGAGCACUUCUCCAAAAGAGCAAAGGCAGCACAUGUAAUGUUUUGUUUGCAUUAAUAAAUAACAAAUCAUUUCUCUUUGAACCUCAAACUGUGAAGACAAAGCGAGUCCCCUCCAGAGCAGGUGGGAUCCUUAGUGUGAGAGAUGGGACUGAAUUUCCUUUUAUCUUUCUCCUCUAGGACAUCAAAGGCACCUUGAGCAGAUGCGAGAGGGAGACGUUUCAGAACCCAGUGGCCUUUUCUUCUGACCUGAAAUGGAGAAUCUGGGAAUCUUCUCAAAGAAAUGCACCUCUGGAGACCAUAAUGAAGAAAUUCAAAGACUCACUGUCAUCUAAACCUCAGUGGGACAAAGGUAAAUUUCUGGGAUCAAAGGGGGAGUGAAAAGUUUCAUAUGAAUUAUGGUGGCUCAUUGGCAGCACCAUAGUUCAGGUUUUGUUUCAAGUUUGCAUUUGACAGGAGCUGAGCAACAUAUUACUGGUGGCUGCCCAGAUCUUCCCUAAAAACAGAAAAGUCGAUUCUUUUCUCUUUUAGAAUUUAGAAUUUGUAACUAGUGGUUGGGUUAAGCAGAUGGGCUGGGGUGCGGGAGAGGGGGCAAGCAGUGUAUCUCCGUAGAGAUCUAAGAGUUUAAAAAUGAGCCUUUUGGAAAAUCAGAGGUGAGAGGAACAUCUCA